CAGUAGCCACGGGAAUACAGAGGGUGCGAGCGUUAAUCGGAUUUACUGGGCGUAAAGCGUGCGUAGGCGGCUUCUUAAGUCGGAUGUGAAAUCCCUGAGCUUAACUUAGGAAUUGCAUUCGAUACUGGGAAGCUAGAGUAUGGGAGAGGAUGGUAGAAUUCCAGGUGUAGCGGUGAAAUGCGUAGAGAUCUGGAGGAAUACCGAUGGCGAAGGCAGCCAUCUGGCCUAAUACUGACGCUGAGGUACGAAAGCAUAGGGAGCAAACAGGAUUAGAUACCCCUGUAGUCCCUGUCUCUUAUAC
rnacentral:rRNA from 1 species